rnacentral:miRNA from 1 species
GACGUCGAAUAUCGACGUCAUAAACAGCAAAGUUGACCGUGUUUAUGACGUCGAAUAUCGACGUCAUAAACACCAAAGUUGAUCGUGUUUAUUACGUCGAAUAUCGACGUCAUAAACACCAAAGGUGAUCGUUUUUAUGAAGUCGAAUAUCCACGUCAUAUACACCAAAGUUGGUCGUGUUUAUUACGUCUAAUAUCGACGUCAUAAACACCAAAGUUGAUCGUGUUUAUGACGGCGAAUAUCGACUUC